GAACGCUGGCGGCGUGCCUAAUACAUGCAAGUCGAGCGAACGGACGAGAAGCUUGCUUCUCUGAUGUUAGCGGCGGACGGGUGAGUAACACGUGGAUAACCUACCUAUAAGACUGGGAUAACUUCGGGAAACCGGAGCUAAUACCGGAUGAUAUUUUGAACCGCAUGGUUCAAAAGUGAAAGUCGGUCUUGCUGUCACUUAUAGAUGGAUCCGCGCUGCAUUAGCUAGUUGGUAAGGUAACGGCCUACCAAGGCAACGAUGCAUAGCCGACCUGAGAGGGUGAUCGGCCACACUGGAACUGAGACACGGUCCAGACUCCUACGGGAGGCAGCAGUAGGGAAUCUUCCGCAAUGGGCGAAAGCCUGACGGAGCAACGCCGCGUGAGUGAUGAAGGUCUUCGGAUCGUAAAACUCUGUUAUUAGGGAAGAACAUAUGUGUAAGUAACUGUGCACAUCUUGACGGUACCUAAUCAGAAAGCCACGGCUAACUACGUG
rnacentral:rRNA from 1 species